UUUUCUUUUCUUUCCUUGUAUUUUUAUUACCUUUUUUUCUGUCUUAUCUUAACAGGGCCACUCUGCCUCCAUUUGCUUUUAUAGACAUGACUUCAAGGCAUGACCUCAGCGGUAGCACUUGUCAGUUGGGAGCUCAGAUGGCCUCGGGCUGGAAGCAGGCUCUGCCUUGCUCCUGCUUCCCCUCCUUGCCCCAGCUCUGAUCUGCCCAGUGCUUUGUAUCAUAGCCUCGAUGUCGAGGGAUACUUUGUGCUGCUGAUUGUCUCACUUCUACAAGGAAAGAAUCAGGGCAUUUGGCACCCGAUAGCGAGACCUCCUUUCACUAUUUACUCAUGUACAGGAGGGGUGGGAAUGAAAUGAGGAUAAGAGAUGCUGACACCGUGUUUCAUCCUGCACAGGCAGCACUGCUGCUGGUGGAGUUGAUUGCAAUCCACUGGGAAAGACUUGGUAGCUCCAGGUAAGCAACUGCUGUCAUUUUCCUCUUUGAUUUUAGCAUUGCUGAAGUCAGGGGAAGAAACAUUUGGAUGCUAUUGAGAGGGUCAAUACAUUGUUAAAUGUCAGCGUUGGUUGGAACAACCAAGCCUUUUGGGUAUGCCCACCUUUGGUGUCAUAGCUGCUGUCCCUUCCCUACAGUGGGGUGUUGCUGCCUGUAGUGAUACAACAACAGAAGGAAAUGCUUGAAAAGUGACUCAAAAAAGGGAGGGUUACAUGAACCUAGCAGGCAGCUCUCAUUUUACACAGUUUGCCUCUGCCCACUGGGCCAGGGAUUUGUAGCUGAAAUGCCAUCUGUACUUUGUAGGCUCUUAUCUCUCUGGUGUGCUGAGAUAGCACCUGAUUACCAUAGUAUCAGAGCAUCUAGCUCUCUGUGAUGUAUUCAUCCUCAUAGCAAGCCUGGGGAUAGAAACCAGGAGACAACCUAAUUACUUCUUGCACUCUGCACAUAAAUUAUUGCUCCCAAACAUUUAAAGGAGACAGGAAGGGAUGCUGGGAAAGGUGCUAAAGGAACCGUUCUUCAUCCACAGCAGGCUUGUGCAUGAUCAGAAAUUGAAGGACUGGUGCUGUAAUGGCACCAGUGAUUGUCAGGAGGCCUCUCAGUGCAUCCCAGCUUGUUGAGGUCACUCCUGCAAGAUGGGGUGGCAAUAGGAUGACUGGGAUUAAAUUCACUUUGGAAUGGAAAGAUCUUGACUCAAGAGGAUCUGAAGUGUAGAGGGGUUGGCUGGCCUUAGGGUUCCUUGAGAUGGACCCGACCUCCAGCUUUUCACUUAACAUAUUGCCCCCACUGAACACACAUACACAAAGAUCCUCUUCUGCAUUAAACUGAAUGAUCACAUCCAGCUACCUGAAAAGCUGCCUUGCAAAAAAUCCCUUGGCGAGCAUAAAAUGAAACCAGAGGACCCCUUCUCGUCUUCAUUCUUAGAGGAAGAGAUUCAGAAACAACAUGAUUUAUGGGAAUUCCUUAGAAGAAGAUGAGAGUUUGUGCUUCAUCUUCCUUAAAUAGCCCUCUGUGAGGCUUACAAAAGCUUUUCCCACAUGCUGAGCUUUCAGAGCCAUGGGACAGGUUCCCCCCCAAGGCACUGAUCUUGCACAGCUCAGUAAAAUGCAGGGGGUGGCUAAAUCUGAGCUCCAAAUCGCAUCACUGACACGGAUGAACCGCAUCCGAAACAGCGUGUCCAGCACCGACCCACCACAUCUGUCACACUGACCUUCACCCACCAGGUCACUUGUCAGCAGCUCCACAUUCCCGGCUGGAGGAUGGAAAUGAGCCUGUUUGAGCUGACGGGAGCUCAGCAGAAACUCAUCAGCAGAGGAGCAAAGUUUACAGCUCAGAUGAAAGGCUUCAAAACUUGUCUCGGGGAGGUUGGGGGCCCUUUGUGACCUGUUGAUGGAAUUCCAUCACCUUGUAACUGUGACAGGUUAUAAUCAACCUGCCCGAUUUGAAUCUUGUCCAUAGCUAGGAGUUUUAAUUUGAUAUUCACCAUUUGCUCCAUCUGCAUCAUGAAUGUGCCCUGCUAAAAGGAAAGCCUCCCUGACCUGCUUCCUCCAGGCAACGGGCUAACAUCCUCAUGCAGCCAGCCAGCGAUUGAGGUGUUUCAAUGCUGGUACCCAAGAGACGGAUGUUAAGGGCAAGUGGUUCAUCAGAAAGGGUUUUU